AACCAUGGACACAAAUAGGCAUUCAGGCUAUUCCCCAAGAACCGUUAACUAUGUAAGGCAGAACCACUAGUAGCUUAUUAGAACAUGCCUUGGCCAGGUGCUCAUAGGAGUACACAUUGCCACAGGGGUUUCCUGGGUUGACAAUGACCAUGGCAACAGUGUUCUUGUCAGCAAGAGCUUGGAUGCCUUCAAUGUCAACCUCCCAGUCUUUCUCAGGUAGAAGAUCGAAGUAUCGUGCUUCCAUGCCAUUGAAAACAGCGCGUGCCUCAUAGAAUAAGUAGCCAGGCCUUGAAACCAAGAUGUUGGCACCAGGACGAGCUAACACAGAGCAGAUUAUCUCAAUUGCUUGAGCACAGCCACUUGUGAGGUAGACAUCAUCAGGUGACAAUGUAUAUGGCAAAUCACAGGAUAAGAACUGAGCAAUGGACCUGAAAUUUAAGGUUUUAAGCCACCGUAAGGUCACCAUAUAUGUCUAAUGUUGUGAAGAACAUAGAUGUAUAAUGGAAUUCUGAUUAAUUGGAACAAAUUAAGUGUUGUGUAGUUUGUACUUCAAAGAAAAUAACCAUGAAUGUCUGUUGGGAGAAAAUUUCAGUGUCCAAUCUCCUAGGCAUCAAGAGACUGAACACAUAGCAUGUAGCACAUGUGCAGGAUUCAGUCAAUAUUUUUUAUGAACACAAACAUGUACCACUUAUCAAAUAACCAAAAAACACGGAAACACGAAAUGAAAAAUGUCAUGACUUCACAAUCUAAGGAAGUGAAUCUUAUAGUUGGAACAUGAACUAAGGUGCAAAGCAAUAUUUGCCCUUGUAGUGUUGAUGUUAGUGGGUAUCACAUAAAGUUCGCGGAGACAAUAUUGGCAGACACCAGACACAAUGUUCAGUGGUUCUGAAACAGAGAAUGUUGAUUUCAGCAAUAAUGAAUUAAUGUCGUACCAAUCUUUUUUCUGAAAUAAAGUGGGGAGGCAAACAACCUUUCCACAGCAUCUGUCAAUAGUUAUUCCCUUGUAUGUUUUUGUGGUAUAUAUUGUACCAUUCCUACCCGGUGAGUGUUUGCUAUCACAGCAGGUUGCCCAAGACAAUAUUGGCAGAUGUAAGGUUCAGUGAUUCCCAAACAGAGCAUACAUUGUGUUAACUAGAACUGGCUAUUGAAAUCAUGCUGACUUCAGCAAUAAUGAAUUAACAGUGUACAAUCUCUUUUCCUUUCCGAAAUAAGGUGAAGAAGUCAAAGGGCCUUUCCACAGCACCAGUCCUAUAGCAAUUCACUUGUCAGUUUGCUGUGUGUGAUCUCACAGAUAGUGCUCUAGUUUUAUCAGGAAAUUGAAAUACACCAGUACCAACAAUUUUCUUAGUCAAUCAUGUACCAUUCACCAUGAUGAAAAAUGAAAAAUUUCUAUUGUAAAAUGCCAGCAACAGUUUACACGUCAUAUUAUUUUAGCAUCAAGCAGUUGGAUUUGCAUCUAAAAAUAACAUAAGCAAGGGAAACAAAUGUGUAGUUUGCACUGAAACAACGUAACCAUAAAUUAAAUGUGUCGGUAGAAAACUCCAGUGUUCAAGCUCAUAGGCAUAAAGAGACUGAACACAUAGCAGGAUAGCACAGGUGCAUGAUUCAGUUAUUAUUUCUUAUGACGGUGAGCCUGUGACUGUCCUGUAACUGAUGAGAUAACCCCCCCGGAGAAAAAAUUCACGGAAACAUGAAAUGAAAAAUGUCAUGAUUCAUAAUAAUCUAAGGAAGUGAAUCUUAUAGUUGGGGAAAACGAUAUUUCCACUUGUAUUGUUGUUGUUAGUGGUUAUCACAGCAAGUUCACGGAAACAAUAUUUGCAGACAUAAGGUUCAGUGAUUCACAAACAGAGCAUAUUUACUUGAGCAAUAAUGAAUUAAGGCUUAAGGUCUACGAAUCUUUUUCUGAAAUAAGGUGGGUGAGUCAAAGUGUCAAACAGCCUUUCCACAGCACCAGUCAACUGUUUGCUUUGACAGCAAGUUGGCCAAGACAAUACUGGCAGAUGUAAUGUUCAGUGAUUCCCAAACAGAGCACAGACUGUGUUAACUAGAACUGGCUAUUAAAAUCAGGCUGACUCCAGCAAUAAUGAAUUAAUGGUGUACAUUCUCUUUUCUGAAAUAAGGUGGGGAAGUCAAAGGGCAUUUCCACAGCACCAGUCCAAUAGUUAUUCACUUGUCAGUUCGCUGUGUAUGAGCUCACAACAAUGUUUUGAGUUUUAUCUGGGAAAUUGAGAUACACCAGUACUAACAAUUUUCUUAGUGAAUCACAUACCAUUCCCAACGGUGAAAAAUGAAAAAAUUAUAUUGUGAAAUGCAGGCUUCAGCAUCUAGCAGCCGGAUAGAAAUAACUUAAGCAAAGGAAGCAAUAGAGACAGAGGAGAAGCCAAAGCCGGCCAGCCGGCUUGAACAGCGGCCAAGAAGUCAGUCACCUCACCUCCGUGCGGGCUCAAGGCCGACGCAAGUGGAGUAGGAGUUGUACUCCCCGGACUGGAGCGCGCCGGCGACGGCGUCCACGGCCUCCGGCGCCGUCCGGAAGCACGGGAACGCCGACGGGUCGCCGUGGCCCAUCGGGACCACCGGCCGCCCGCCGCCGUCGGCCUCUACCAUCCCGGCCUUGACCCUGCCCAGCACGCCGCGCACCGAGAGCGCCGUCAGGCCCAGCAGGGUCUCGUUGGGCUCGAAGUUCCACGAGGCCGGGACAGACGUCGCCACCCCAUUGCCGGCGCUCUUCUCCAUCGCUCGCGGCGCGGUGGUUGCUCUGGGGCGCUGCGACUGCGACAGAGGUUUGUUUGGCUUUGGCCUUGUUUACUCCCCAGAAAAUUUUGCAAAAUUUUUCACAUUCCCUGUCACAUCGAAUCUUUAGACGCAUGCAUGGAGUAUUAAAUAUAGACGAAAAUAAAAACUAAUUGCACAGUUUGGUCGAAAUUGACGAGACGAAUCUUUUGAGCCUAGUUAGUCCAUGAUUGGACAAUAUUUAUCAAAUACAAACGAAAAUGCUACAGUGUCCAUUUCCCAAAAUUUUUCGGAACUAAACAAGGCCUUUGUUGUCGGGCGGCUUGGCCACUGCGAGCUCAGGAGUGAUGCGGGGCAGUCGUGUGAACUCUGCCGGUCUACUUAUAGUACACAAAAGAGUUUAAUAAAAAUACGAUGUCAGAAAUUUAGACCGAGGCCUUGUUUAGUUCAAACAAAAACAAAAAACUUUUCAAGAUUCAACGUCACAUCGAAUCUUACGGCACAUACAUGAAGCAUUAAAUAUAGUUAAAAAUAAAAACUAAUUACACAGUUUGUCUGUAAAUCACGAAAUUAAUCUUUUGAGUAUAGUUAGUCUAUAAUUAGACAAUAUUUACCACAAAUAAACGAAAGUGCUACAGUAAACAAGUUCCGAGGGCGUUUGGUUGGAAAUCAGUUCUGAAUAUGAUUCUCCGGAGAAUCACGCCAAACAUGUUACGACUACCAUAGGAGCGAACUGCUUCUGACACAUACAUGCAUUUAACACCGCUUAGAGUUAAAUUCGAUAGAAGUGACUUAAAAGGCAAAAAAGUUCAGAGCAUUGGUACAUGUGAGAAUUCAACUUUUUUAAAUAACUUUUAGUUAAUUACCAACUUUUAUAAUAACAUACACUCAAAAGCCUCAACUGUUUUAGCCGAGACAUCUUUGGGGCUAUUUAGUUGGUAGUAAAUUUUUUUAGUUUUGACUACUAUAUAACACUUUCAUUUGUAUUUGACAAUUAUUGUCUAAUCAUAGACUAACUAGACUCAAAAGAUUCAUCUUGUAAAUUAAAGACGAACUAUGCAAUUAAUUAUUUUUAUCUAUAUAUAAUGCUUUAUGUGUAUGCCACAAAAACUUUGCAAAAUUUUUGGGAGAACUAAACAUGUAGGGGCUCCUGAAUUGACCUGACUGAAUUGACUACAUGUGGUUUAGUACCGAUUUUCUUCCAUCUCCUCUCAUAUUUCUACAAGAAUCUAGAUAUCCCUACUGAAGGCUAAAGCUAAUAAUGAAUUAAGUCACUCCAUAUAAUUUUAUAGCAUAAAUUCAUGAGCGUUCGUAUUAAGUCAAUGACUUAAACCUAAGUAGGUAGGAUGCACUACCAGGAACCUAACAAACUUAGUUAUGCUCAGUUUACUCAAACAUGGGGCAUUAACUAAGGGUUAACUGGAAAAUUCUUCCAUGUCAAAAAGAAAAACUCAAACAAUUCUUAUAUUUUGGGAUAAAAUCAAUAGCUAGUUAGUACUUCGUCCGUUUCAAAUUAUAAGUCACUUUAACUUUGUUUAGUUUAUAUAUUUUUCUGUAUAUCUAAUAUAUUAUUAUAUCUAGAUGCAUAGUAUGAUAGAUAUAUAUAAAAAAGUUAAAAUAACUAAUAAUUUGGAACGGAAGAAGUACAUAGUAUAUUUGGAUCAUCAAAUGAAAGUUAGUACAGGUCAUAGUCGACGGAAAGCGACUAAAUAUUUAACAGGUGAUGCCAUCUUGGAGCUAUCGGAGAGGCGAAAACCAACGAUUAUGGUGACCUCAUGAAUAUUCAUGGAAUGACAUCACUCGAUUUUAUACUAGCUAUUGGAUAGUGAGCUAAGAAAUAACAAAUUAUCCUAUUCUCUUACAUAAAGGAAAAACAAUAUAAGGAGCCCAAAAAUGGUGGACCAUCCCAUCCAAAAACUAACAACGCAUAACAUAAUUUGAGUGGUUGUUGAAUGGCACCAUAUCCCAUGGCUUGGCGGCCAAGUUAUUUGCAAGCUAAUUGGUGUGAAACAUGUUUUGCUGAAAGCACGAGGAAGCUGCUAUAUCUGGUCUCAUUUUUCAUCUCUUUCAUUCUCCUAAUGCACAAACGUAAACCUGCAACGACAUCAUGUCUCUUUCAUCCUCUCCAUCCCAAAUUAUAAGAUGUUUGAAUUUUUUUUAUCCCAAGUUUAACCACUCAUCUUAUUAAAAAAAUCUAUACAAAUAUAGUCAAAUUUAGGUAAUACUUGUAGAACUUUUAUUAAUAAACCAAGCCCCGACAAAAAAAAUUGUAGAAAUUUUUGAAUAAAAUGAAUAGUUAAAUGUUAUGUCAAAAAAGUCAAACAUCUUAUAAUUUGGAAUGGAUUAAGUAUGUCGGAAGCAUUGGACAUGGUUAUCAAUUUGUGUUUGUCUUUGCUACUACUAAUUAUAUAAAAGUAUUAAGGGUAUGGCAAACGGACGAUGAUGUGUGGCAAGUGGACAAAAGGUAAAUUUGCCCUUAACUUGACGACAAUAUUACCAACAUGCGUCCACGUCACAGAGAGACACUGCGUGCGCGCUGAAUUGGAUGCGCAUUGCACAGGGGCCCGAAAGUUCAGUACAGAAAAAGUGGAGUUAUUAAGCUCGCUUAGUUCUUGUUAAAAGUGUGGAGAAAACAAAAACUUCAUUUGUUUGGUCGUCGAUUUCAGAUAAAGGCUAUCCUCCAGCAUACCUGCACAAAGUUUAUAAUUAGCAGGAGAUGCCUUGGGUUAAGCUAGUAACUUAGAAUGUUAUCUUUCGCCACAAGGAAUACACGCGUCACAGACAGGAUUUUUGUUUGGUCAUAGUAUACGCCUACUACCGUACGUGAAGAAAGUACCUUUGUCAUAGAAGGUGCGUCUCUAAACCUCUUUGAUGACGAAUCAAAGAAAAAUGCUAUUCAUCAGUUUCGUCACUAAACAUGAUGCUUCUAAUUAGUUGUCAACAAAAACAUCACAGCACGUUGAAUAGGCCGGGAGGCACCACAUCGUCAUGAUAUCUGGUGAAUCUGGCGAGCUGGUGUGCUCAAGUUGCCUUACCUCUUCUUAGCCAGCUUUAUUCCGCUACUUUUUUUUGCUUUAAGUUAGAUCUUUUUUUAGUGGUGUGUUGGCCUAUUGGUAAAACAUUGUAAUAAUUGACCUGAUUCUAUCUGUCGAUAGAUGAAACCGGAUUAUUUAAAAAAAAAGGCAUCAGCCAACCAAAUCAUGUUGCCAACCUCAUGCUCAGCUUGGCCAUAUAUGGCCACCGUACCCCGCACCCAUGCCUGAGCAUACGACAGCCCUAUGCUCGGCUCACCCAGCCACCACAUCCGACCAGUUGUAGCAACCAGGCCGGCCGGCCCUCACUUGAUGUGGGCAACACUUGGCCCUUCUACUCGGGGAAAAGCCUGUCCCCAACUAUAUUUCCCAUGGGAUGACACUUCAUUUCAGACUUUUAAAUUUGAACUGUUCGUAUUCGUCUCUUAAUACUAACUAGUAUAGUGCACAUGCUAACGCCAUGGCUUCAUUUCAAAGAUGUACUUGAAAACAACCGGGUAACCAUAUUUUUUGAUAGUUUAAGUCAUACAUGAUUGUUUAUGACCAUGUAUAUUAUCCAGAAAACACUUAAGCGUCUAAACACAACAUAUAUAGUUCAUCAAUUAAAGUUUAACUAAAUCAAUUUCUUUUACCCUGGAAGUCUAAUGACAAAGUGCAUCAGGCACGUCAGGGCAUUAAGCCAUGCCAAAGCAAUUGGACUUUCACUAAAAGAAGAUAUGUUUUAGCUUUGCAUUACAAAACAUGAGAAAGAAGAGAGGGCAUUCUUUUUGUGAUAUAUAAAUUGCAGAUGCCAUUUUUAAACGUAUCAGGUCGUAUGUCCGAGGAAUGCUGAGAAGGCUUUGCACCUGUCAACAGUGGAAGGUCGCAAAUUACACAAGGUCAAUUCACACGCAUCAGCUCCUCAUUAGUUAAUGAAUACCAGAAGCAUAAGACAUGUAUAAAAAAAAUUAAAGCAAAAAACUAAAGAACACAAGUCUAGAAUAAUUUAUUUAUAUUGACGCAAAUAAAAAUAAAUAAAACAUGGAGCGCAAAAAAUAAAAUUAUUUGAGUAUACCCAACAUUAAUCAACAAUUUGGGACGUCUUUAUAAACAUUAUUCUUGGUGUUAUUCCCCCUUGGAAUAUAUGGUUUAGUCAAACUCUUGAUCUUGACACACCCCUCGACAAUGCAACAUACCUAUUUAAUGUAAUAAAUCUUUAUAAUUCUCUUUAUAAUUUUGAUCAAACUUUAAAUGCUUUGAUUUUCCAAGAUUCUUAGAAUAACUUAUAAUUUGGAAUGGAGGGAGUAUCUUGCAAACCUGAAAUUCAAAUUGACAUUCAUUUUCAGAAAUAGCAGCAGAAUAUAUGUAGGAGUAUUAAUGAAUUAAAAGCAUAAUUACCAACCUCUACAGGAAGAUAAAUUGGCUUCUGCUCACUGCCAACAACCCAACACCGAUGCAUGGGAGAGGUUAAAACCUAAUAUUUUAAGGAUCUAAGAAACAUUUAAUUAGAAGUGCUGAUUUUUUUAAUGAAAGAUUAGAAGUGCGCCUUACCAUAAUCAGGUUGAGUCAAGUUUGUGUCCACGACAUCUAUCUUUUGGAUGUUCUGAACAAAGUCAUUCAGCAGCAGAGAUUGAACGAAAACUGAUGAGAACACAUAUACAAUAGAAAAAUUACAGCACGUUACAAGCUCUAAAAUGCAGUCAAAACAUGGAAUAUAAUUACCAUGCAAAGAACAUCCAGCAGGCCAAGAACAUCCGCCAGUCCUUGGCGCCUCCUCCCAUGCUUCCUACGGCCGGAGUGGCCGAGUGUGAUCGCCGCAGCAAGAGGAGUCUCGAACUCUCGAUGGGCAGCUGCACGGCAGGUGGGGCAGAGAGAGUGGACGUAUGCCAAGGCAGACAGUGAUCUCGGUGGCGGACGGCGAACAUUGCGUAGCCGAUAGGGCGGGACCGGUUGUACGCUGGACUGGACAACGGCUAAGGUGGAGAGGGCGAACGGCAAUCUCACUCGUCGGACUGCACGGCGGUUGCGGACGGCAAUCUCGCUAGAUUGCACGGUGGCUGCACUGCAGCAGGAGACGGUGAUCUCGUUGGCGCGAGGCAGAGGGCGGACGGUGAUCUUGAUGAACUGCAUGGCGGCUGUAGGCACAGCUGCACUGCCCUAGGUCAGUAGGAGACGGCAAUCUCGCUGGCGGACGUCGCGUAGCCGAGGCAGACCACGAUUUCGCUGUUCUCGCGCGGAUGUCGCGCGUGGGCCGAGAUGGGUUUCCUUGUGAGAGGCGGAUGGUUGGGCGAUGACAAGGACCAUACACGCGAUUCUAAUCGUCGGAUUUGAGUGAGUAAGAAGAGAGAAAGAUAAGAAGCAAUCUGAGUGUACGUGGUUGUUUCUGUGGGUACAUUUUGUUUGGUGAGUGGAGGAGAGUUAUCUCAGCGGGAGAGGUUUUUGGGUGUAGCCUUAGUGCACUCACAAUGCAAGACUCUAUCACAGAGUCCAAGACAAUUAACUACAUAUUAUUUAUGGUAUUUUGCUGAUGUGUCAGCAUAUUUAUUGAAGAAAGAGGUAGAAAAAAUAAGACUCCAAGUCCACAUUAUUCGAGAUAAUAAAUAACUGUAGACUCUAUGAUAGAGUCUGCAUUGUGAGUGCCCUUAGCAAUGUUUAUGUUGGUGCAUUAGUAAGGUAGAUCAGUUGUAUGAACUACUAUUAAUGCAGCUUGAAUUGAUGUGAUGUCAAAUAAAGAUACAUACUGCAUGGAUUAUUUGUCCAAGGGGAGCGAUUCACUACUACACAAAUAAUUUCGCGAGUCACUAUCCUUUUAUCCACCUUAGUUAAUCGGUGGCAAGGCUAUAAAUGAUUACAUCGAAAAAUAAUUUAUAAAUUUGCCAAUUAACUCGGAUGAAGACAAACUCUUUAUCAAAACUUUAGCAUUCGAUGAGAUUUAUAAUUUCGUAAUUGAAAAGUUUUUUAAUUGAAAAUGUUUAGGGUCCUAAAAUAUUGUUGUAAAUUCAAAGAGUUUGAAAUUUGAAAUUAUCAAACAAUCUCGGAUGUUGAUAUGGUUUAUACAAAAGUUAUAGUUCUGAACUUUUAGUUGAGAAGUUUUUAAUGUUUGGAGUCUCAAAUACGUGUUCGAUGGUUAUAUAUUUAAAGUUAAAAUUCCUAAACACAAAUGUUAACAUAUAGUUAAUAUCAAAGUUGUAAUGGCCGACCUGAGCUACAUAUUGAAAAAGUUUUUAUUUAAAGUCAUCUAGAGUCUUAAAUAUAUGUUUAAAAUUUCAUAUGUUUUAGGACUUAAUUUUUUUUGAAAUCAAACAAUCUCAGAUGGAGGCAUAUUCUGUACCAAAGUUAUAGUACUUAAUAAGAUUUAAAAAUUUAUAGUUUUUUUAUUUAAGUUCAUUUAGUAGCCAAUAUAUCAAAUAUGAGAUUACAAAAUAUUGAUAUAAAAUAGUAUCGUAUUACAUUGACAUGAAAAAGUGGUGAAGUGGUAAACAACGAGGUAAUGCUAAAUGUUAGGUCGCGGGUUCAAAUCCUAGAAUCCACUAGAAACAUGUGCGUGGCGUUGCCACACCUACAUCGUCUGAUUUUGGCCAGUGUAGAAUUUGGUGUUCAAUUCGCUAGCUAUUUGAUCUCUAGGAAUUUUUCAAUUCGCUAGCUAUUUGAUCUUUAGGAAGAAUGUUAUUGGAUCUCAAUGUUAAUUUGCAAAUAGCUAGCUUAUGAAGUCGCUAGCUAUUGUGGAGAGAAUUGUAAGAGAGUUAUUUCUAGAAGAUCUUGCUAGAUUAGCUAUUUAUGAGUCGCUAGCUAUUUGAUCUCUUUUCUCGAUAGCCAAUGAGAGUGCUACUUUUUUAUUAUUUUUAUACUUCAUCUCGCUAGCUAUUUGUAAAGUGCUAUUGAGAGCCAAUAUAAUUCCUCCUAGCUAGCUAUUUGAUAACCAUUGCGGAUGGCCUAAGAGCCUUUCUAAAAUCUAUUCUAUAAUAAAUCAAUAUUUGGAAGUCAUUUAAGUGAAAAACAUUUUAUAUAUUUUUUGUAUCUUGUGUGCAGUCUAGAAUCAUCCUCGUUAUCUACCUUUGGCUAGUGAGAAAUCUGGAAUAGAAAAUGUUUAUAUUUGAUAUCCAAUUGAAGAGGUUGUUUGUGAGUAUUUUUUUUUCACUAUAAUCUUUUGUUCACAUAAAUUAGGAAAAAUAUAAGAUACUCUUAGCAGAUUGCUCGCCGAGCCGUGUGUCGAAUGUCGUUGUCCUUAAGUUGAGACUUAGGUUGGUAAAGGUAGAAAAAAUGGAUAUUUGAGAAAAUAUGAACCCGUGUUGGGGAGUUAAAAAUGGUACGCACAAUAAUGCUAAAUAAUUUACUGCCUCACCUAAAUAACUUUAUCGGACACAAAAUAAAUCAUACGAAUGUUAGUACCCCAUCCAGAUUUAGUUUAGGAGCCAGCAGAGCACACUUGAUAGUGGAUGGAUUAAACUUGUUAAUUCCAUUCCGAUUUUACAUUUGGAAAGAUAUAUUUCGGAACUGUCUGCUCGAGUGUACUAUAUAUUCUAGAUUUGUUAUUUUAAAGUAUUUAUUUAUAUAUGAAUAUUUUAUUGAUUUUUUUUUUGAGAAUAUGAAUAUUUUAUUGAUGAAAGAGAAGACAUAAACAUUGGGCUGGCCCCACUGGUGCAAGUUGGGCCUUUGCCCUAACUAGGUACCGUACCUGUGUAAGUUUUUGUUCAAUCAUGCAUGAUUAACAGCGGGCACGGAGAGACAUCUCUCCGACACCACCAGCUCUCUGUCGUCUCGUUCUCUCAUCAGUCUCUCUCCCACGACGGCAGCCCAGCGUGGGUAGGGUGCGGUGCCCUCGGCCACCGGCGCGGCGUGUGCCUUAUGGAGGUUUUGGGUCCACGACGAAACGGGCAGGGAUCCGAACCGAUCCAAGAUCUAACGGUCCACAUCACAAGUUGACUCGAUCCAGCGGCUAACAGGUUAACGGAUGACGUGGCCAUAAGCCUGUUUUUGGUGCAGGAUUCGUUUAUAUAGAUAGAUAGAUAGAUUGGUUUGAGGCACUUUUUAGAUAUGAAUCCCCUAGCCCUCAAAACUAGAUGAGAUGUUCCAUCAAGUAGAGGUCUUAAUUUGAAAGCUAUUGCUAAAGUUGCUCGAAUAGAAACAAGCAAAUAUACAUACUUUCUCUAUCUUGUUAUGUAGUGUAUUCUUGAUAUUCUAAGGCAAAAGAAGAGAAAAUACAAAAGACACAUGCCCUUACUACAUUUCGUGACGUUAUUAUAUAAGUGUGAUUAAUGAAGAACAGUUGAUAAAUGGCAAGAAAUGAUAUAAUACUUACUGAAUUUGCACUACUAUUUAAUGCAGAACUAUCUCUUGCUCCAUCCAUAUAUAUUUAGGCAUAAUUUUUUAAUGGUUGAACGCUUUACUGGACGAAGGGAUUAUAGGGUUUAUUUUUUUGUGCCAUAUCGUUAUAAUCCCAAUAAUGACUUCCCAUAUCUGUAGUUUGAGAUUCAACUUGGUUCUAAAAUUCGUAACUAUAUGGAAGACAAACUUUAUUUAUAUAUGAAAAUUUAGGAUUCAACUAGCAAAAAUGCCCGUGCGUUGCAACGGGAGAAAAAAAAACAUCAAAUCUAUAUCUAUAUCUCUUUUACCUAAUUAUAUAAUAAUAAUAAUAAUAAUAAUAAUAAUAAUAAUAAUAAUAAUAAUAAUAAUAAUAAUAAUAAUAAUAAUAAUAAUAAUAAUAAUAAUAAUAAUAAUAAUAAUAAUAAUAAUAAUAAUAAUAAUACGCGGUGGAGCCAGUGGGACAUGCAAGGGGGCAUUGGUGGAAUAGACCUGGGAUGGUCGUUCCUCACGCCCCGUCUCAAGGCGGGGCCUGGAGCCGGCUAGCGGGAGCAUCAAGUCGAAGCCGGUCUGUGGCGAGAGAGCGGACGAGAAUUAUUCCAGACUAAAAUUUUGGCUCACAAAUAUACCCGUGCAUUGCAAUGGGAGAAAAUAUAUAAAAAUAUAUAUCGAUAGAUUUUUAUUUUAUGAUUUAUUUAUUGAUGUCCAUGACAACCAUAUAAUAUAAAUUGGUAUUGGUAAUAAUAUGACAAUGCUCUAUUAAAUCUAUAUUAAAUUAUUAAAGUAGAAAUUUGACAGAUUUUCUCUCUCAUUGUGAAGGCAUAAAAAUUUACAUGUGAGAGUCUGAGAACCUUUCACGUGAUGGAUUUCACAUGGCUACAUCUACAUGGAUAAAUCUUACUCCAUAGUCCAUUAUUCAUUCUAAAUAUUCGUACAAAUCAAAUUUUUAUCUUAGAAUAUGUGAUCAUGUAAGUGUGAGUUCGUCACCAAGCAGUUGACAUAUGAUAGCAGAGUUCACCAAAUUAGUGAAGACCAAUAAAAUAAAGAAUCAACUUUGCAAAUAAGGGGGAAAAAGGCAAAAGUAUCCCUCCGUCCAGAAGCUCCUGGCCCAUACACUGAUUCAUAACAAUAGCAGAGCAUCGUCAUGUCCUCCUAGUCUGUCUCAGGUUUGGGUCAGCCCGUAGGAACGUACAAAAACAAUGGAAGUAGAUUUGGGCCAGUUUAGCAUUGAGCUUUUACCCUAGUCCAUGUAAGAAAGUAAAUCAGAUUCAACUCGAUGCUAUACGUCCAUAGACUAAAUCAGAUUUAACUCUUGCCAUACGUCCACAGCCUUUACCGCCGCCUCUCCUACCUGAGUACCUUCUGUCCUCUUUACUUCAACCAGCAAACCACCAUGUCAGGACUAGGAGAGGCAAACAACCUCUGUUCGUAGCUUCACGCCACCUCCUCACGCUAGCGAGCCUUUGCACUGCGGCCUCCAGCGCUCCCUGCGCUAGCCUCUGCUUUUGCGCUGCAUGUACCGCUCCCGAGGAAGGGGUGCCUUGGCCGAUGAGUGCAAAGGCGGCGGCACCGGUGGACCUGGCUUAUGGCGCGAGCUCUCUUGGCGGCCUGGCCUGGGGGCACGACAUUGGCUGAUGUCCUCUUCGAUUCUCUCUGAUUUUAUGAUUCGAAUUUUUCUCCAAUUUCCUCUUCCAUCGAUUCGUGUAUGGAUGUAGAAGGUAUUGAUUUUGGUGCUUGCUGUUGAGGUCAGCAGACCGGCGUUAAUUUUGUGCUCGACGUUUUAUCUAUAUAUAUGGUUGAUGUCCUUUUUUUGUACGAGUUUUCAUAUCAUGAUAUUUGACUUUGUUUUGGACUCGAUGUAGAAUCUGGAUUGGUUUGGUUCGUUGCUGGGUAUGUGUCAUGCCCGAGUUGGAUACCAGAUAGCUAUGAUCUUUAGUUUGCUGUGGCCUCGAAUCAAUUGGAUAUGUGGAGGGAUUUGGUCUUUCAGAGGAUGCUUUCGGACUACAGAGGGGGAUUAGUCAGGAGGCCAGACGAAAUUAGAUCCAGACGAAAUAAUUUUGUCUCUUUAAGAAUUGUAAUAUAUACAGACAGAGAUAUUAUAUAUAUCUAUAUGGACAUGUCGGACGGAACGGUCCGGCAGACUGAAAUUUUCAUCUUUAAAUAUUAGGGAUCAGAUAAGAUCUUGAAGUCAUUUAUUUGCUAAAAGGUUGUCUUAAAAUUGUAAAAAACAAGGAUCAUGUUACGUGAAAGCACACAAGCCUCCGGCAACACGUCCCAUUUUUUUGAGUUUAUUCAAAUCUGCAAGCUAUUUAAUAGUGUUUUUCUCUUACAACAAAUCAGCAAACAUUAAUUUCUGUCAUGACUUUUCUGCCAAUUGAACAGAAUGUCAAGGAAAAAAAGUGUUUGCUAUUUUUUGUUUGUUUGACUACACAUUUGCAUUCUCUCUUCAUCCCUGCUGCCAAUGAUGAAUCGAAGACACAGUACUCGUCACUCGUCAGUAUUCAUGUAAUUUACAUUUUAUUUGCGGACUUGAAACACCCUGCGAUUCGUGCUUAAAACAAAAGGCGUUAUUAUGGCCAAACAGCAAAUUUUAGGCUUUGUUUAGUUCCUUCCAAAAAUCUAAAAUUUUUCAAGAUUCUCUGUCGCAUCGAAUCUUUGGACACAUGCAUUAAACACCAAAUAUAGAUAAAAAUAAAAACUAAUUACAUAGUUUAUCUAUAAUUUGCGAGACGAAUCUUUUAAGCCUAGUUAGUCUAUAAUUAGACAAUAUUUAUCACAUACAAACAAAAGUGCUACACAGUGGCUAUUUCCUAAAAAUUUUUAGAACUAAACAAGGCCUUAAUUAUGAAAUCACAAAAAUCUGCCAUACUUUAAACGGGCGUAGAUAGCUGGUACUACAAGGAUUGUACGCCUUAUUUAAAGGAGUCGCAGAUUGUUGUUGCCAUGAUUUUUGCACCAUAUUUAAAGGAGGCAUAGAUUGGUGCUACAAUGGUUUUACACCGUAUAUAUUUGCAGGCGCAAAUCAUUACUCAAAUUAUUAGUUACCAAAAUUUAACAAUUACUAGUUACCAAAAUACAAGUGUUUUUGCAUGUCUUCAUAGGACAACAGCCUCUCUAUAAAUACCAACACAUCAGAUGUCUUGGUUUAUACCUUGCACUCCAACAUACAUGCAUACAGGAUACAGCCAUGGCGUCGUUCCUCAAGAAACUUGCAGUGGUCGUCGGCUUCGCCAUGGCCUUGCUCGUCGCGUCAAAUGGCGAAGAAACUUCCUCAUUCGGUGAGAGUUUUCGCAGCUCAACGCAAAGUCUCUGAAAAGCAUAUAUAGCUCGCUAAUUGCUCUCUGAAUCGAUCUCCAAAUUAACAAAUAUAAACUACUUUGGAACUUUGCAGGCGGAUCAGCACUCUGUGAUUCGAGCACGGGUGUCACCUGCACGUCCGACGCGGGUUGCGUGACCAUCUGCAAGCAAAGGGCUGGGCAAAACUACGUCAAUGGCUACUGCUCCCCGGAGCCUAAUAAUGCCGUGGGCGGCGGCCGUUCAUGCGUGUGCGUCGAGAGGUGUGGUGCACAACCGACGCCGCUGGAGAAGCCGGCGACGGCGACGACGCCGGCAAGGAUGGGAAUGCUAGACUGAUUGUUUUUUUUUUUUUGUUAAGUGGAUCUGGACAUGAAUGGCUGAACGCCUUUGAUAUCAUCUCGAUCUGCUCUUGUGCAAUGUACCCAGUCCUAUUGUGGGAGCAAAUCGAUUCAUGCGGGUCAAAAGACGUUCGAGCUCGUUCGCUUGUGUGAAAAGACAUGACCUCGCUUAUUUGUUGCGAGAGAAAAACACUCGGAAUGGUUGGCAGAUUUGAUACAUAAAUUCAAGUAAAUAAGGGGGAUGGAUCGUUCAAAUUCCAAUCAAACAAUAGUGGUUUAGGUAAACUUAGAUUUGAUUCAUUUGGUUUUGGAUUGCAUAUUCAUCGCCACGUCAUCCGAAAUCAGUUGACUCUCGAUAAAAUAAAAUUAGUUAAAAAUCUAGAUAUUGUAUUGGAUGUCUAGAUGGGCUGGUUCUGUCCAAGAUCCUAAAUGGGCUGGUUCUAUCGUCCUUGUGCAUAAAUGAGUCAAGACUUGAAUAAAAAGAGAAGCCUAUAAGUUGUUAUACCAGCGGAAACCAUUCUCAAAAUCAAACCAUUAAGUUGAUCAGAAAUAACUGAAAGCAAGUCAAACCACUAGCUCCUAUGACCAAAUAAAAUGGUCCAACAUUCUAAAGGUGAAACUAAUAAGGGUCUCUCCAAUGGGUGGUUCUAAGGUGUUUUCAUACAAAAUAGGAGUCAGCUCUAUAAACUGUGUGGUUGAGUUUAUAUAGGAGUCAGCUCUGUGCAUUAAACCUAAUCCUAAGCAAAAGAAAAAUAUUUAAAAAUUCAACACCACACUCGUGGGUCUCUUCUAUGGAUCUAGAAUAUAAUUCUAUAAAUUAUAGCAAAUUUAUUUGAUCAUGUCACAUUUGUUGUGGGUCCCAUAUAAGUAUGAGGUUCAACUUGAUACAUUAGAGACCCCCCUAAUCCCUCUAGCCGUUACUACUACAGAAUUGACUUUCACUGCCGGUCCCAUCACUGCCGGUUUCCAAAAAACCAACAGUGAUAUUCAUGUCAUCCUUGCUGUUUUUAACCAUGGACCGAGUGAUAUUAGGUCAUAACUAUUGGUUUGUGGUUUGAACCGAAAGCGAUAGGCUGCACGAAAAACUUCAUAACUUUCUCAUAUGAUGUCUGAUGAAGACAAACUUUAUACCGAAGUUGUAGUACUUUUCGAGAUCUAGAACUUUGUCAGUUCAAACUUUUUGAUUUAAGGUUGUUAGGAUGUCCAAAUAUGUAUCACAAUAUUUUACAGAGUUAACAAAAUAAGUCUAUGCUCUAUCACAAGUGAGUGUGUAGUUGCAAAAAAGGAUCUUAGAUGAAAAAACAACCAAAAUAAAAGUUGUAAAUCUUAAAAAGUUAUGCAACUUUAUAGUUCACAACUUUUUAUUUAAAGUUGUUUUGAUGCUGAGUUAUUUGUUUCACAAGAUUUUGUAGAAGUUAACACCAAAGAACUCCAUUUGCUUUAUAGACAUAAGUGAGUGUGUAGUUAUAGUUAGUUAAGGAUCUCAAAUGAAGAAGCGGCCAAAACAUAAUUUGUAUAUCUCAAAAUAUUAUGUAAAGUUGUACUUGAUGACACAUACUUUCUGAUUUUUUAUCAAUUAUUAUCACUACCUGACCUAGAACUGGCAGUAUUCUUUUUGCUUUUUUCUUAUCACUUAUCACAGCCAGACCUAAAGCUAGAAGUUUUCAUUUUUAUUUUUAUCACUUAUCACUUAUCACGGUCAGCUCUAGGACCGGCAGUUCCCAUAUCACUGCACAAUCUGAAUCCGGCAGUGAUGGUCUAAUCCACCCGCGGUUUGGUUUUGAAGUAUAGAAUGACAUCCAUCCAAUACUACCUCUACUAUACCAGCAAAUUAACUUCGAUACGCAACACUUGUAUGGCAAUAGCUUGUAUAGUCAACUACUAUACAUGAAUCACUGUAUUUUGCGCGGUCCCCCGCGUACAAUUCUUCUGGUUGGGCCACUCCGGGGACGGGGAGAAGACGACAGCUGCAGCCUGGACAGGGCCAGAGGAUCCGGUGGUGGCAACACAGCAGUCGGUAUAGAGAACACCGCCGGCGAAGAAGACGAGCCGGUUUCGGUUUCAUCCCUCUUGUCUCUGCCGUCGCUGCUGCUACUGCUGCCUGGUCGUCGAGAUGGAACCGUAAAAUGUUUUGUAUGCCAGCCUGAAGCCCACAAGUAAGGAGUAACCUGCUGGUUUCAGAAUUUCAGUUCUUACCUUGUGCACAAGAUUCGCCCAGUGCAAUUUCCAGAUGCUUCUUCGUGGGCUGCAUGUUGUUUCUACAUAACAAAACAAUUCAUUAGUUUUCCUAAUACGUAUACUUACUCCGGCUUAGAUUUGAUCAUAUAUCUAAACAAGGUAUCAAGCACAAUCCGUCAUCAACCAUCGUCCAUAUAUAUCAGAUCUCUAUGAAUGAUAAGAAAAAGUAGUAUACUAGUUACUACUGCUCUACAGGCAUCUGUUGAUCAAAAGGAAAGCCAUGCCUUGCGGAUGAACAACUUAAAUUAAUCGUGCAAGCGAUCGAGGAACUCGAUGAAUGUGUUACCUGACGGCGAGGAACACGAGGCACUGUGCCCGGAGCUGCUUCAGCUGCUGCUCUGUGAACGUCGGCGACGAUUGCGAGGGAUGACUGGACGAAAGCAUGCCGGGCUUAUUAUUCUCUUAUUAGUAUAUCAUCAGAUGAAAGUGGAGGCGUUUAGUCCCGGUUUCUUCUCAGAUGUAGUAGUUAUAUAUGCAAUGGUCAUGGAAAUUGCCAUUGAUGCAUGAUUUGUCUAAUCUAGUUCGCAGCUAUCUGAUGGAGACAGGUAAUUAUAAUAUCACAGCACGAUUGAUGCCAUUUGUAAAUUGUUUACCUUCUCUCAGGCUUAUGCGCUGUCCAUUUUGUUUACCUUUCUCUCAGGUUUAUGCGCUGUCCCAUUUGUUUACCUUAGACCUCUCUGAACUUCUGAUGGCGCACGGCAGAGGAAUAUGUACGUGUAGCAGUAAACAUAAACAAGACAUUUUUUUCAUGACAAUUUUUUUUCAUGCAGAGGAGUGCAUCGAUGCAGACAAAAUGCAGGACAAGUGCAAGGAAACUAUGCAUGCGAACCAGAGAAUAUACUUCUUCACUAUGAACAGCAUAAGUAGUCUCGUCAGCAGCGCCAAAAGUUUCUCCGUCAAAAACUACCUACUUGAAAUGGACAGCGUUCACUGUCCCCUUAUGUAUACAGUGAACUAAAUGCUAUAGCAAACAAAUAUUUCGAAUGGUUUACUCCCUUGGAAAAAUGGUGUCAAUGAAAUUUAAACGUAUAGGAGUAAACUGAAAUGUUUAGAGACUGAGUUGAGAAAUGCCAUUCUCAUCCAUGUGUGAUGAAUCAUUGGCAAGAAGAUAAAUCGAUUUCUAGUUGAGUUUGUAUUUUAUAUAUGCUUGAUUAUGAUAAUGGCUAACCAAAGAUGCCAUGUUAUGUUGAAUGUGUUAUGCAACACCUCUCUUGGCUUCUGAAUGUGCAGGUGUUAGGUGCGGCAAGAAGGUCAACGACAAUGGAGAAGGUCAAGUGCGGAUUCCAUCCCGAACGGAUCGAAAGCGACCAUGGGUAGAUGAGUAGGCUUGCACUGAAGAAUCGAGAGGCAGAGGAUAGACCAUGGGACUGCUCACAUCGGGCAGAAGAAGAGCAACACGGUAUCAAAAAAGUCAAGGAGGAGGACGAUGACAUCGUGGCAUUUGACGGAGGCUGGACAUGCAUCUACUGAUGCACAUAUGUGAUGAAGGUGGAGUCAGUCAAGUCAAGAAAAAGGCAAAGGUGUCAACAAUGGCAGAGACAUUAGUUAGUCAUGUUGUCAUAAGUUUUAUCCUCAAUAAUGUAUAUUAUAGUUUUGUGCGCAGCAAAUCAGGGGGUAGCACACUUUACAUAGAUGUAUAUUGGCUCAAGUAUACAUGGAGUACACUAUGCCCACUCGAGAGUAGAUCUCUUAUGUUGUGUGGGAAAGGACCAUGGCGCUUAAGAGGGGAUAAAUUAGGCAACUUAAAAACUAUCUAACUAUGGCCUUUAUUUUUCUCCUAAGCAAAACCUAUACAACAAUUAAUUUACUUAGAGCAUCUCCAACAGUUUGGUAUAUGACUUGUUAAACUUCAAAAUUUGGCAAAACAUGUAAAAAACGUUCUCCAACAGUUUACUAAACUUGCUUGCCAUCUUGUCCCACUUGCUAUCCGUCGGAGCUGCACACGUAUAUUUGCACGCGCGUAUCCGGCUUGCCAUCGCUCGCCCGCGCUUCUCGGAGCUAGUUCCCGCGCGCAGUCGGAGAAUUCCACGGCGUCUAGAGUCGCGCCCGCACCAAAGAACGGAGCCGCCGCCGCGACCAACUCCCCGUCGUCGAGGGAACGAUCGCGGUAGGGAGAUCGCGGUAGGAAACAACGCAGUAGGGAGAUCGCCGCCGUCGCGGUUGUGAAGGAUCGAUCAUUGGAGAAGACGUUCCGCGCCGACGGCGAGCAGAAGCCGUUCGCGCAGGCCAAGCUGCAGCUGCAGAGCUUCCCCACCAUGCUCCUGUUCCCGAGCCGCACCGCCAGGCCCAUCAAGUACCCGUCGGAGAAGAGAGACGUCAACUCGCUCCUGUCCCCGAUCUGGUCCCGGCCACUGCAAUCAGGUAUCCUGCGUUAUCUUUUCCUCGUUGAUCUCCAUGCCUGCUCGAUCUAGUAGCUCGAGUUCGACCUCGUGUUCAGCUGUAGUUUAGGGUAGUCUGUUGUUUUUCUUUGUUGUCAUCACUUCAAGCGCUCCUUCAUAUCUAGCUUCGAUUGCGAGAUUGCCUGAUCCUUGGAACAUGGAGAUAUGCAUAUAUAGAUGAUAAUAUUCUGAAUUGUACUUUGUUGAAUUGAUCCAUGAAACUUUCUGAAUUGUACUGGAUGUCAAUAUUCUGAAUUGGUCCAUGAUACUAUUCUACAUUGUACUGCCAAUAUUCUGAGAAGCGUUCAGUUGAAAGCAAAAAUAUUUGGGAUAAUAUUUCAGAACAUUGUACCAUAAACGCCUUCAUCUCAUCUGUAACCUUCACAACCUCAACUGAAAGCUUAUGCAGAACACAAAAGAGCUGAUGUAGAAAAAAAAGAGCUGAAGCGCAGUUGCUGAAACAAGAAAAAGAAUUUAUGUUGGCUGACAUGAACGCCCUCAGCCCGACGCAGCUUGGAUUAAGUUGAUGCAGCAGGACAUUCAGUUGAACCUCUGAUGGCCUGCUAUUGCCUAACGCCGUGGUCAUCUUGUCGCUGAUGGACUGUACAGAACCUGCAGACUGAUAGGAAAUAGAAGAUUUGAUCCUGCAGACUGAUGGCCUGCGUUGGGGUACUGGUCAACAACCGAAUCUAGUGGGUUAUCCUCUUUUUUUUUAUUUGGCAAGUGAGAUAUAGCAAAUUGUUGGAGAUUGCCUCUUUUUAACUUGGUAAGUAAUUAUAGUAACUUGCUAAAACACAGGAUUUAGCAAGUGAGAAAUAGCAAACUAUUGGAGAUGCUCGAUGUGCAAGUAAGGUUUUGCUAGUUGUUGCUAUAUCUACAACAAGGGAGUUAUGCAACCUAAGUUCCAAUCCUAUCAACUAAGCUAGGAAAGUAAAGCACAUGACACAACCAAGAUAGCAAUAUAAAUGCAAAAACUAAAGAUGAUAUAGAGCUACAAACUUCCGUCGAUGACUUUGGUAUUUUUACCGAGGUAUUGAGAAGCGUGCAAGUUUCCACUAGUCCUCAUUGGAGUCUCUCACAAGGGCCAAGCUCCUAGUCAGGGAACUCCAUCGAUAGCUUCGGGUCUUCUCCACACGCAAGUGAAUCUCCGAUGUGCCUUCCGGCAAACCUCUCUGUCUUCACUAUCAAGCUUUGGGCCAAAACACCAUGGGCCUUGUUUCCUCUGAUACACGGUGGCGGCCACACCACAAAUGUGGUUGGUGUGGUCUCAUAAGACUACAAGCCCUACUGAGAACAAACAUGGUGCACGCAUGCACCUUUGUUCAAGAGGUAUGCUAAUCUCAAUCACUAGCAGCUAAGCCUAAUCCCAGAGCAAGUACAUAUGAUUAUGGUUUAACUAACCUAAGCACUUCGCAAAGCACCUACACUAAUCACCUAGUGAUCUUUAAGCCCUAUACAUGUGGAGAGCACAAAUGUGGUGUAGCAACACCCAUCUACCUUUCCCUUACUUCCUCUCUUCUCAGUUGGACGUUUGUUGGAAUCCUUUAUGUAGCCCCGAAUGGAGAACUAGCCAUUGGGGGGCAAAACACAGAAUUUCUGCAUAUGCACCAGUGCUACCAGUGCGUGCCACAUCUACAAGCUAUUGGUGCUGACAAUCUCACCGUUACAACACAAUGUUCACUCGUGUAUAUGGACGGUAUAUAUGACCUUUGGUCCUUUUCCAAAUGAUUUGCAGCUUCACUGGAACUGUCACAGGUGCAUAUGACUGGUGCACACAGGUGAUGGCUAGUGCCUUAAAGCUGAUUUCAGCAUGUUUUGCGAAGUCUCUAGAACCCAUAACCAGUGCAUAUGACCAGUGCACAUAGGUAUAGGAAUAUGAGCAGUGCCAAGUUCAUAACCAGUGCAUAUGACCAGUGCCAAGUUUGCAUAUACAUAUAGGCUUAGCUGGUUGGCAUGAGUUCACAAAGGCGGCCUAGCCUAGAUGGUCAGGUUCAUAUAUGCUAACAGGGACGAAGCCAUGAAAAAAUUUAGGGGGGGCUGAACAAAAGUUCUACAUCGACUUAGCUCUACUAUUACCCCUCGUAAUAGAAAAAAAUAUUAGAUUAAAGUAGUCUUAUAUUUAAAAUAUAUGAUGAAAUUUAUAAAAUAUAUCUAAAAAUAAAAUUCUCAGUUCACGCUACAUUAUAAAUUUGUGUCUAAAAUUAGAAGGAGAACACUAGGGAUUCCACUGGGCCAGUAGCGCCCCCCUAGCCCCACUGCUGGCUUCGUCGCUGUAUGCUAAGGUGGGUUUCGAAAUAGAGUUAGCUGGGUUUUAUAGAGGUUUUGUCAUUUUUGUUUGUUUGGCUUCUGCAUCACCCUGGCCUUCUUUCUGAGGUCAGUAGAUCCAUUGUGACUAUAUGAUCUUAGCAAUAACUAGAAGAGAGGGUCUUGUUGGUUUUUGGGACAUUGUCUAUUUAUCACUCAUUUGCUUGGCAAGAAACAUUCGAGGCUCCCAUCCACCCCCACCCCCACCCCCACCCCUCUAUUCAUCUGUUUUGGUCCUUCAAUUAGUAUUAGAGAUUGGGUAAGAAUUACAACCCUUAACUGACUUUGUGAUAUAUAGAAAGAUAAUUGUUUUGUCCAUAUGAGGAAAUCUUGCUUCAUGGAAGAUCUAGCCCACUGAAACUGGCUAAUUCGGUUUUGAUGCAGCAAGUUAUGUUUGAGUUGUAUUUCAAAACGAUCUGUAAUGGACAUCAACCCCCAUAGGAUAAGUCUACCACAACCUGACCAUAAAUAUAAAAGUGUCACAACCUUUCUCUUUUACUCUUUUUGCCGUAACGUAUCUUCUCGCUUCCAUUUGUUGUUCUAUUAGCUGGUUUAGGUUCCCCAACAUCUUCGUACCCUAACAUUGCCUACUUAUCUCAACUGUGUUUGACAGUAUUUUAGGUGCCCUUUCUGACCCUAGAACAAGCUAGGUGUGCAUCCACAGGCACCUUCCUGAUAGGCGUUUCUAGGAUCUUGGCAGCAGUAGAUCUGCUGAAACCUGCUAAGCUGGUUUUCCCUGGUUCCUCAAGCAGUCUGAAUGAUUCUCUAGGCGUGCUUAUUUUCUUUGAGUGUGGGACCAAAUUUGCAUCUAUACACUUUUGACGACUCUAAUGGAGGAGUUGUUUUGCUUUUCAUGGCCAAAAUCAACUAAAGCAAUAUGUUGUCACCUUAGAUUCUAUAUAAGUAGUACAUGCAAGAAUUUGAAUAAGCAACUACAAGAUUGUUUCUUCCAAUCACUGAAAAAGCAAAGAAGGUCAGUGUCAUUAAUGUAAAGAAGUUGCAGCUACCCAACAACACCAAUCUAUUGAGAGAGAUGCAGUCUUUAGGUUCUUCAUCCAAUCAUCAAUCCAAUCUUGUUAAUACUAUGCUUAAUACUUUUGAUAUGACUAUUGGUGAAUAUAAUAGUAUAGAGAUCUAGUUUCUAAUAUUCAAAAUUAUGGUACUCGAGGAAGUAAAUCACUACUUGAGUCAAUUAUUGUUAAUGGUAUUGCAAAAUCAGAUGCUAUCAAACCAUGCAAAAUUAGACAUUCUAAUGUUGUCGGCCAAUAUAGCAAAACUAUGGCUCAGAUAUCUAGAGCCGAAUCUAGUGAAUCCAAAACUAUGGCUCAGACAAUUCAUGGCCUUUCAAAAAGAGCAUAGAGAGUCUAAAUCUAGUACUACUUUUAUACUCAGGGCUCAACAAAAAUAAAUUAUUAAGCACGGCGAGUGUAGGCAAGAGAAAAUUGCAUAAUCUUGUAUGGAUAUCGACAAGAUCUCGAGCGAGAUGAUAAAGGAUUUAUUUUUUGAUGAUGAAGUGAUAAUUGUGAUUUGUCACCAUGCAUGGACAGUGAUCCACAAGGAUGGAGUGCUUCAUGACUAUGAUCCGUCUAUUGACUGUGGCUUGACAUAGUGUUUUGCAUUUGUGAUUGCCUCACAACCGUGGAUGGUAUGUGGGCCUCAACUCUAGUGUGGCAAUGCAUAUGCAUGCAUAUUUGAGGUCAUAGGCUGCUCUCCGAUAUGGGCCAAAGGUGGUUGCAUGUUGUCCAGGCCCUAGAGUUGGGCCCUAAUUAGGUAGAAGUGGAACAGGAAGAAGAUGUUGUGGAAUAAAAAUAGAACAAUUUCUUUAAAGUAUCUGGUAGAAAAAGAGAAGAGAGAAUAGGAUAUAAAAUACUAGGUCAUCAAGAUAAAAAAUGAAAUUACAAAUAAAAAUGUAAAAAAAAUUAAAUGAUUUCAGUUAUCCUCAACCGAACUAUUUAGUUUGAAGCUUCAUUAGGUACUCUUUAGAAUGUACUCCCUUCAUUGGAUAUAUAACUUUUACUGUGCAAUUAGAUAUACAUUAAUUCUGCGUUUUCUGCAUGAGUGCGACUCUACUCCUAGAAACAACAUGUUUAUUUUGGUUUUACUCUGAGGGACAUAUUUUUUAUUUCUAUUCAGUAAGUUAUGGACCAAGCAGGCAACCAGAGGGGGAUGAAUAUGAGCCAAUCAAAAUUUCUUCACCGAGGAAGAAAAACUUCCGACUAUCCCAACACGACCCCAAAGCAAUCAUAAAUAAACCCCAAGUUUUCCAAUGUGAGUCCAAAGGUCAACUAAUGACUAGAUAUACUCAAGAUAGACCCGAUAACACUGCAAAAGAGACAGAAAAGCAAAUUAGCGAAAGACGCUAUAAAGGGGCUCAAAAACAGGACGAAACAACGAAACCACCAAGAAAAACCAGCUCAACCAUUUUUUGGCACUAUUCAUAGGAUGGAUUUGGCACUGUUCAUAAGAUGUUUCUAAGGAUGCCAAAGCUCCGUGAAAAUCCCUCCAGGGUGACCUGUGCGACCUGGGCGACACGAGGAAGAUGGGUGUGAGUGCGACACCAUGCGUGGUCACGCAGUGUGAUGGAGGGUGGUUUUGCCUUGUGUGGACGUGAUGCAUGGACCAAGCUCUCUGCACUCGCUGAAGUAUGCCCCAUGGUGGUCCCUAGGUGAUAAGGAUGCUUCUAGAGUUGGUGUCUUACACGGCAUCCCCUCUUACCUCCACUUUUUGCCACGCCUCUUUGUCUCCCUCUCUCCUCUCUCUCUGCUUCUUCGGCCUUGGGUGAUUUUGUACACUUUCUUAGGACUAGCAGCUCCUCUAUGACCCUGAAGGGGAAGGCAUGGUGGUGAUUCCUCAUGAGGUCAAUGAGCACCCUAAUGCAGAUCUGAGCACUCGUGGUGCGAAGGUUGGGGUUUAAUUUGUAGGGUUGUCAAGGUGGGAGCAGUUGAUUCAUCAUUGCUGAAGCUUCUAGGGCAAGAUCCCUUUGUGGUACUAUUUUGGGAGAGAGGUGGUCGAUGCUAAGUGGAGAUACUUGCUCAUUUGUACAGGAUCUCUAGGCUGCUCCACAGCUUAGGCGAACCAUGGAUACUAGAAAUCCAAACUAUGGAAGGUUUGAUAGGGGAUUUAGGGGAAACAUAGGUGGACAUGGCUGAAAUAGUCAUGGCAACCAUGGAUGGACCCUCAUUGGGGAGAUAUAAAGGUGGUAGGAUUGUGGGCAUCAAGGAAAUCAGUAGAAUAGGGAUAGCAGAGCAAGAGACUAGGCUCACACUAAUACAGAACAGACCUUUGCUUUAACACAUUAGUCUUAGAUAGAAUUGAACCCAGGACUAAUAUGAGCAUUAGUCCCAGGUCCAUGUUUCUUGGGCGCCAAAGGACCUUUAGUCCUAGAUAGUAACACCACACAAACUAAAAGGUCUAUAUUGGUCUCAGUUUGUGUUACAAACCCAGUCUAAAGAGCCUUGAACCUUUAGUCCCAGUUGAUAACACCAGAUAUACUAAUAUAGUAUAUUUAGUUCCGGUUGGUGUUAGCAACCCAGACUAAAGGACCUUUUAGUCCGAGUUGGUGUUACCAAACCAGACUAAAAAUUCCACUUAUAGGUUAGUUCAAAAGGAAAGCAUCCCAACAUAAGUUACAUGUGUUGUGUAGGUACGGUGAAAAGGUACAUGCGAGGCAAUGCAUGAGGUCUGGGUUCGAAUCCCAUGAAGCACGGGGGUGGGUGGCUUUUUUAGCCUCGAGGACCUUUAGUUUGAGUUCAAGGUGCAACAAAAACCUGAGGACCUUUAAUCCUGGGAGUACUAAAAGACUUUUCCAUCCAAGACUAGAGAUCAAUUUUCUACUAGUGUCAACAGGAUGAACAAGGUGGUCAGUAUGUGGAACCUAUAGUGGAUGCUCAUAUUGAUGUGCACGAGGACUCCACUGAUGCUAAAACAUUGGUGAACAUCACUAUCUAGAUAGUUGCUGCCGAUGGAUUGGUGAUGGCUGUCAAGGAAGUGCUAAUAAAGGUACCCAGGCCUAUGAAGUCUAACAUAGAAGUUCCAAGAAGAGGUGCUGAUGGUUGGAGAAAACUCAGCAGAAGUGCCUAGCUAGGGUGGCGAUGGCUAACAGAGAAUUUCCAAGAUAGGUGUCUAGGGUUGGGAAGAACAUAUGUAUUAGUUGUAAUAAAGUUGGAUACACUGCUGAAGGUUGUCGAAAUCCAUUUUUUUGAGAUGAAAGAAGACUUAUAUUAUAUAAAAGCUGGGUACGUUGACAUGUUACAAGCACUUUGUACUACAAUACAAAUAUCCAAAAACUAUUGUUCAUAUAAAUUGUACCCACGCUGUGAAUAGCUCCAAAUCUUAAAACCAAACCUGCAAGAUGCUUUGCAGUAUGGAUUGCAAAGGCAAACACUCGGCAAAAGACCUGAGAACAUAGGCCCAAUGAACGACGGAGAACAUUCAUUUUGGUGCAGUUGAGAAAUUUCUUCUUUUUGAUGUCUCUCUUCUUCUUUCUACCACCGAAGAAUGGGGAAUACUGAUCUAAAACUUAUUAUCCCUAGUCCUUGAUUGUGGCCAAAUCCAAUCACAAUAAAACAGAGAAGUGACCGAAGAAAAUUAUUCCAUGGCAGCAACGCCAUCUCCGCCUUGAUAUCGUUGUCUAGAAAUAAAAGUUUCUAUGUCGUCAUACCAUUGAGGAUGUUGAUGCCAUAGUCAUCGCCCUCAUCUUCAAUAGAGCCGCCAUUGAGAAAACGAUUCUACCCUUCCCCAUCACCGUUGCCAGAGAGGAGGAGGAGAUAAAUAAAUCCCCAAUACCAAAAAACUUAGCAUGGAGAAACCUAACCCUAAGGACUUGAUCUACUGAAAAACUUAUUAAAAAUGAUGGAUCCGCACUCCUUCUAGCUUCCGUUGAUAUGCCAGAGGGAUGAGGGAGGAGAACCAACAAGGUGGAAGCAGGGGGCAGCAGCAGCGGCGGCGGCACUCCGAGUCACAAGAUCGAGGGCGAGGGCAAGUUGAGACAUCAAAAGAUAGGUUUCCUGACUACUUGUGUGGACUGACAACAGAAGGUUGUCCAAAUCUUGUGAUUUGCUCUAGAUGUAAUAAGGAGGGGGCAUGUGCCAACAGUCUGUAUGAUGCCAUGGGAGUUUAUCUCCCCUUUCUGUGGAUUGUCUACUUGUGGGCCAGGUUUCCAUGUGAUUGUAAGUACUUUGUGUCCGAUGAUGGUGUCAAAGACAUGUCUAACACUGCUUUGAUUACCAUCACUGUCAGGAGGCUUAGGAAAUGUGUUCAAGGUAAAAUCUGGGCCAACAUCUACAUGGAGGUGGUAUGUUAAGAGAAUUGGUCACAAUAAGUUCUAAAUGGCGUUCCCAAAUGUUCAAACCACUUAGGAUUUGGCCUUUUCACAGAGAUGCACAUAAGGUAUAUGCCAUUGGUUUUCAAGGUUGAGAAGUGGAACCCUGCUAUUGGUUCCAAUGGAGCCCUGGAUGUGGCUUGGUUCAGGAUCAAGGGGAUUCCAUAUAAGAGAUCCUUUCUUAAUGGGUAUGUUUGGUUGGGUGGCUAACUCCUAACCAUGCUCCAAAGCCAUCUUGUAGUUGUUUGGUUGUCUAGAAACAGGCCGAAGCUAGGCCCAGAUAAGCCAAUUUCAGCCCUAUAGCCUGGCUCUAGAAAAACGCAACUGGUGGUUGUUUUUUCUUGGCCAGGCUCUGGCCAGCCUCCAUGAGGUUCACAUCACUGCACGGCCCUCCGCACUGUCCAAAGUGUCGGUUGCCGUCUUCCUUCUACAUGGUCGGGAUGAGCUGCGAGGCGAGCAAGGCGUCAACAAAGAGGACCUCAUUGCCGAUGGAGACGGAAGAGAUGGCUGAUGAUGAGGCAGGCAGGCGUGCGGCGACCCAGGUUGCGGCAUUGGCCGGAGAGGUUUGCGAUGUCGCCGCUGGUGGCGCACAGGAGGGAGAUGCCUUUCACGAGCCUUCCUUCAGUCCUUGGCAAGCUCCUUCGUCCCCUCCUCACCACUCGACCUCGCGCACAGCAGCAGCAAGCCUAGGGGCCCGCAUCAGCAACCGCCCUACGAGCAGGCUCUUGGCCCACCGAGGCGUCUGCGGCUCUCGCUCGACGGGGCGUCUGCCCCUCCUCCUCCCGCUGUUGGGCCGUUUGUCUCACGCGUCGUCCGCCGGUCGUUCGAAGGAGACGAGGCCGCCGUGGUGGUUGAGAAUCCCGUCUCCAGGAACGACCACCACCCGGUGGCAGCUUCGACGGACGUGGAGGCCAUGGCAGCGCCAUAUGACCCCAAGACGAAUUACCUCUCCCCAAGGCCUCGUUACCUGUGCUAUCAGCCCAACCGCCUCCUCGAGAUUUACCGUCAUGGCGGUGGUGCGGUGCGGGGGCUCGAGGAAAGAUUGGCAGUGCUGCCUACUAUGUGCUUAGAAGGUGUUCGAUGAAUUGCUUCUCUAGGGUGAACUUACCAGUGUGUUCAGGUGUGAUGGUUCUAUGAAAGAAACACAACCAACCAAACAAGAACUAAACUUAGCCAUCUUUGCACACAACCAAACACAUGCCUGUUGGCUCCCUAGGAGCAGGCCUGGGCUGCCUAGGCUACAUUUGCUAGCCAGGCUCUAUGAGACCUACGUUACAUGGAUACGUCACUGGGACCUCGUAUCGCGUAUCGGAUACGUAUCCGAUACGAAUACGCGUCGGAUACGCCGCCGAUACGUGUCCGCAGAGUAUCCGUUUUUUCUUUUUUUCACGAAUAUUGGAUACGUGGUCUGAUACGUAUCCUCAUCACCGAUACGGCCCAGCUGAACAAAAGUACCUUAUCCUGUCCCCGACGCCAUGGCCGGCUGGCCUCUCGAUUCCCGCACGCCUCGCGCCGCAACCCUGCGCCUCGCCCGCAUCCCGCCGCAUCCUGUGCGCCAGCCGCCGGCGACUGGCUACGAGCCUCUGCCUCUUCGCUCGCCGUCGACGAGCCUCCGUCCUGGCUCGCCGGCUGCCAGCGACGAGUUUCCGCACCUGCAACGUGCCCAUGCCCCCUCACGCCGCAUCCUGUCCACUCGUCCCCAGUCCCCACGCGCGGCGCCCUGGGGAGCACCUACCAGUCCGCUACAGAUGCGGCUAGCUCCCACGAUGCAGGGGGGAGAUGCAUGGAAGAGGACGAUUCGGAACUCAACAGCGAAGCUAGCUUCCGCCGAUCUCCCAUGAGUACACUCCCUUUCCAUUCUUGAUGUACUUUACUUCUCUACUUGUUGCUUCCAUCUAGAUGGCCUCUGCAAAUUUCAGCAGUGCUGACGCAACAUGCAAGUGCUAGUCCUAGUCCGCUAGUCGUAGCAUAGGAUCCACUGGCCACAAUCAUAACAGAUACAAUCCUGUUUCCUGACUUCACUCUCCUCAUCUCUUGUGAAAUUAAGAAACCUACAAGCUGAUCUGGUGAUGUAUCAUAUAUGAUUGUAUGUACUAUAAACUAAGAAUUAGUGAUUACUAAAAUUCUACACUUCCACAAUUUUAGUUUACAUUAUUAUUUAUUUUAUUUAUUAAAAAAAAGUAAAACGUAUCCGCGUAUCAUGUUUUUUGAGAAAUUUCCGUAUCCGCGUAUCCGUAUCCUUCCGAUACCGAUACGCGUAUCCGUAUCUGUGCUGCAUAGUAUGAGACCAACAAACCAAACAGACCCAAUGUGUGCAUGGUGGCCUCCAAGGUGGGACUGGCUCUAGAGGUUGACAGGGAAAAUCUGAAUAGAUAUGAGUAUGUCAAAGUUAAAAUUGGUUAUAAGGAUGUCACCAAUUAAGGUUCCUACCAAGGUUGAUGGUUUACUGGAUUUCAACUUCUUUGGUUAUUUCUUUCAAAGAUUCCUAUCAUUUCUAUGGUUUACUGCUUCUAACUAGAGACAACUUAAGUCUUAGGAGAAAGGUUGAAGAUCAGUCUUGUUUGUUUAGUUCUGAGGCUGAAUCAGUUAACCAUUUGUAUUUCUGAGUGUGUGGUAGCUAGACACAAUUGUGGAAUUUUACAUCUGAGGUUUUGGAUAUACAUGUGGGGAUGUAUUUUGUUUACUAUGCGGCUGACAAAUAGGAAAUUUUUGGAAGUGCUGCUGCUCUGUGGGGUCUAAGGAACUGAGAAAUAGUUUGUGCUUUCAGGUGCUUCUAUGGAAGGACGGGCGUGUGCUGUUACUAAUGGUAAUAGUAGCCAUGCUUCAAAGCUGGACUGUCCUUUGUCCAAAAGAGAUGAUGCAGGUGUUUUUGAUGCCUUUGGACAAAUUGAAGUAUCUAUCAACAAGGCCUCACAGGUUACCUUGUUGAAUCUAAUGAGUAACAAGGGGGAGCAUUUCCUUUACCAAACUGGGCCUGAUUGGAAGAAAGUAGUUGUACCUGAAGAAGCAAAAGCUCUGUUUUUGGAAGGCGACAACUUGGAGAAGGUAGUGAUGGAAAGGAAAUGGAAUAAUCUAUCUGAUGAUGGCGAGGCCUGGGGAAUGUAAUGUGGGCUUUAGUUUCAGUUUCGUUUUGCAACUAUAGUUUCUCCGUGGUGGGUGUGUUUGUUUUACACUGUCGGUUUGGUAUCUUGAUGUAUUGAAUGCUUUAACUGAUGGGCUUUGGGAUAUAAAGGCCCGGGCUAUGCCCAUUAUCUCUAAACAACCAUCUGUUUCUGUGUUUUCUGCAUGGGUGUGGCUGCACCUUCUACACUGUGUGUAGCUCUGCCCCUAGAAACAGCAAGUUUAUUUCGGUUUUACUCCCACUGUUUUAUUUUUAUUUCUAUUUGGUGAGAUAGAUACUCGUGUUUUGUCAUUAGGUGGUAACUGAACGGGAAACGUAACACGGCCGAGUAGAAUAGUUAGUGUUUCAUUCUUUUUAGCUUUGAGUUUGAAUUAGCUAGAUGGAAGCACAAUGUUGAGAGGAUGAGUACAAUGGACAUUAUUAUGCUAUUUAAAGUUAAUUAGUAAAGUAGUACAAAAAGAAAAGAGAAGAACAUGAAAUGUUAGAAGUAGAAAUAGAGAUAGCGAUAGGGAUAGGGAUAGGGAUAGGGAUAGGGAUAGGGAUAGAGAUAGGGAUAAGGAUAGGCAUAUGGAUAGAGAUAUCUCUUCGUGUAUGUAUAUAUAUGUACAUGUAUAUUAUAAUUAUAGACAUAUAGCACUCCUCCAAAGUCCAAAAACAGCAAUGUUGUCGUCCUUCAACAAGAAUCUAUUGGUCGCUGGGUUCACCUUGGCAUUGCUCAUCGCCGCGUCGCAUCGUAAGUCCCAGAGAAUAACACUAAUAUAUUCAUCGUAGUAGAUUGUUCUUGGAAAAAAACUCCAUAUCAAACUUGUUGUGGCUGAAUGCAUGGAUGCAGGCGCGACAGCACUUGAGGAGAGGACGGGGAUCAUGUGCACGUCUGACCAGAUGUGCAAGUCCAUCUGCCUGCAGAGGGGCUACACCGGCGGCUACUGCUCCAGGAAGCACGUCGUGGGCGACCCCUCGUGCGUGUGCACCAAGCCAAGCCCUGCACAAUCGAUAACGGCAGCUCCGGCGGAGAAGCAGCUGGCUGGCAACGGAGAUGCCGGCGGGAUGGGAAUGGCCAACUGAUCAAACGCCCCGCCGGAUUUUCGCUAUGUAUGUAGGAGGCAUAUCGAGCAUUGAAAAUUAGGACUUAUGAUCCACCGAUCAGCUCAUAUGUCUAGCCAAUCAUAUCCGAAUAAAUUCGACCAUUUUAAUUUUUCUAAAUACAUACUCCCUUGUCCCAAAAUGAAUUAACUUCAGACAUCGGUUUAUAUUUUGUUAAGGAGUAGUUUUUUCUAUACGUGCACAUAGCGUAUAUAUGAUCAAGGUAAAUAUAGUGAGGUGUGAGGCGAGGGGAUGCAAGGUUUAGAUUGGUGGCUUGGUUUUGUAUGAGAAAAGUACGAUUAUAUGUGUUUUUGUUUGUACUUUGUUCUAGUAUAUUUUAUCCGCUCAAGAAAGUCACAUAAAAGCAACUUAAAAAGACUCUCUAUAUCCUUCCUAAUUUAUUGGAAUAGAGAUUUUAGUAAACAAAUACCGUCCAACAACCUCAUUAAUUAGAUCUCCAAAUAUAGACGUCCUCUAUUUCAGAUUUCUCGCUAGCGAGGAUGGCUCUCUAGAGUGCGUAAAGAUAUAGAAAAUCUGUUGUAGUCUACAAAGAUAUAGAAAGCGAUUUUUUUACUCAGUUGGCUCUAUAAAUUAUUUGACUUAGAGAGUAAAUUUUAGAAAGAUUCGUGGAGAUACUCUAUGUGCAGGAUGACAAUCUCAUUAAAUAUUUAUGUUAUGGACUAAGAAAACCAUAAAAGACAAGAGCCGAAGCCGAUAUGGAUUAGGUAUUGCCGUAUUGUGUGUCUGUUUGGGACUGCAGCAUGGUGACUGCAUGGUGGGAUAUAGCACUACGGCGUCCGCCCCACUGCAUGGUAAGUGCGAGUGCUACUUCAGUCUCAUGGUCCCUUGCCUUCGUUGUAGUGGAAAGGACCAUAGGUGCCACAAGAUGUUUGGUACUCCCUCCAUCCCAAAUUAUAAGACAUUGAAGGAUUCUGGAGAGUCAAAACCUCCCUGGGAGGCAUUUCUAGAAUCUUUGCCGUGGUAGAUCUGCUGAAACCAGCUAAUAAGCUGGUUUUCCCUACUUCCUUGAGCAGUCUGAAUGAUUCUCGUGUGAUCUAGGCGUGCUUUUUCCUUUAGUAUGGGACCAAAUUUGCAUCAACUAAUGCAAUAUGUUGUCAAUAUGCUAUAUAAGUAGUACAUGCAAGGAUUUGAUUAAGCAACUACAAGAUUGUUUCUGUCCUAUCACCGGAAAAGCAAAGAUGGCCAGUGUUGUUGAUGUAAAGAAGUUGCAGCCACCUGACAACACCAAUGUAUUUAGGGAGAUGCGGUCUUCAGGUACUUUAUCCAGUCAUCAAUCCAAUAAUUUUAAUACUAUGCUUAAGACUAUUGGUGAAUGUAAUAGUAUAGAGAUCUAGUUUCUAAUAUUCAAAAUUACGGUACUCGAGGAAGUAAAUCAGUAGAAGAGUCGAUUAUUGUUAACGUUAAUGCAAAAUCAGAUGCUAUUGAACCAUUAACAAAUACACAUUCUAAUGUUGUUGGCCAAUAUAGCAAAACUAUGGCUGAGACAUCUAGAGCUGAAUCUAGUGAAUCCAAAACAUGCUAAGACAAUUCAAAGCCUUUCAAAAAGAACAUAGAGAGUCUAAAUCUUGUAUUACAUUUAUACUCAGGGCCCAACAACAAUAAAGGAUUAAGCACUAGGAGUGUAGGAAAGAGAAACAAGGCAUAAUCUUGGAUGGUACAGACAAGAUCUCGGACGAGAUGAUAAAAGAUUGUUUUGACGAUGAAGUGAUAAUUAUGAUUUGUUGCCAUGGACAGUGAUCCACACGGAUCUAUUGCCUCAAGACUGUGAUCCGUCUAUUGACUGUCGCUUGAGGUAGAGUUUUGGAUAUGUGAUUGGCUCACGACAGUGGAUGGUAUGUGGGCCUCAACUAUAGUGUGACAAUGCAUAUGCAUGUAACAUACUGUAUAUUUGAGGUCAUAGGCUGCUCUCUAAUAUGGGCCAAAGGUUGUCGCAUGUCCUGUCCUGCCCUUAGAGUUGGGCCCUGAUUAGGUAGAACUGGAACAGCAAGAAGCUGUUGAGGAAUAGGAUGGGAACCAUUUCUUUAAAAUAUACGGAAGAAAGAGAGAAGAGAGAAAAAGAGAUAAAAGUAUGGGCCAGGCCAUUAAGAUAAAAAAAUGUAUUUACUAAUUUCAAAUGUGAAAGAAUAAAUGAUUUCAGUUGUCCUCGGCCAAACCAUUUAAUUUGAAGCUUCAUUAGAUACUCUAUAGAAUGUAUUCCCUUCAUUAAAAAUUGGUCAUUCUAGCCUUUAUAGAUAUAUAAUUUUACUAUGCAAUUAGAUAUACAUUAUGUCUCGAUAAAUGGUAAAAUCUGUGUCUCUAAAGAAGACAGUAUGGCUUGAUUUGAAUUUGGAAUACUCCUUAUUAGACGAUAGAUAUUAAUACUCUGUCUCAUAAACUUGAUUAAACUAAGACUGGUUUAACUUAGAAUAAAUGAAAAUCCCUUAUAUAUCUCAGGAUGGAGAUUAUUACUAGAUAGAUAUUAAUACUCUUUCUCAUAAACUUGAUUAAACUAGGAAUGGUUUAACUUAGCAUAACUGAAGAUCCUUAAUAUUUCAGGACGGAGGUCACCAUAUUCAAUGGUCGAAUUAAUAGCUGGUACAAUGAUUUUUCACCACACUUAUUGGUGGCAUAUAUUGCCGUGACAAUGAUUUCUAUCACUAAUUGGCUAGUGGGGAAACCAUUAACUUCUAACUAAAACUAUAUCUAUACAUCUAUUUCUUUUCUAUAUAGCUCUAUCUCCUUUUAACGCUGUUCACUAUAAAUAUCAAACACAUCCUCUUUGUUCGUACACAUGUACUAGCGUUAGCUCCACAAGUGACCAUGUCGAUGAACAGGAAACAUUUGGUCGCUGGCUUCUUCUUCAUCAACUUGACCUUGCUCAUGGCAUCAUAUUGUGAGUUCCCAGCAGGACACGAGUUAGCUAGCUAAUAUAUUAUUGCUUCGGAAUCUCCAAAUGAACAACCUUAAUUUAAUUUUGUGGUUGCAUGCAGGCUCAGCAGCACUCUGCGGAACGAGGACCAAGUAUACUUGCACGGUCGACAAGAUGUGUGAGAUGAUCUGCCAGCAAGUGAACUGCGACCAACAGAACUGCGGCUACACCGGUGGCCACUGCUCCGACGACUCAUUAUGUGUAUGCACCAAACCCUGCAGUGCGCAAUCAACCAUGGCUCCACCGGGGGAGAAGCCGGCAGUGGAAGAGGCAUACGGUAGGAUGGCGCUGGAUGAGAAUAGAAUGCUCAAUUCAUAAAGUAGGAGGCAUCGAGCAGUGUAUAGUAGAACAUUGCGAUGCUUGGGUCGAUAUUCUCUUGUUCUGAUAAUUGCAUGCAAAAAUUUGAAGUGAAUAAAGGUCCGUUUGGCAGGGAUCGAUAUUGUCUUAGAAAUGUUUCAGAUCCAUGUUCUCUGAAGAAAUGUUUCAGUUGAUUAAUCAGAAUGACUUUAUGAAGUCAUUUGGCUGGUAGGUUGGAUUCUAAUUCCAAAAAUUAAAUAGAAAUAGAAUCCAGCGGAACCAGCCCAGGAAAAAAACCGCAGAACCAGCUGAAACUCUGAACCUGGCUUCCAAACGGUCCCUAAGUCAUGUGCUCCUGCAUGGUCCCUAAAAUAAUCUUAGGCUCCAUUUUGAUCCUUGGAAUUGAAUCCAUUUUAAUAUACUAUAAUUUAUGCACAUAUUAGAAGCUAAUAUGGUUGUUUUGGAAUAUAUUUGUAUACUAUUGUUAACCAUGCAAGAGUGAUGCUUAUAUGUUGCGUUUGUACUAUAGCGAAGUGAGUUGAAAAGUGUGCUAUAAGUUGGAGAAUAGAAACAUAGAAUGGUGAUCUAUCAAAUCAAUUUCUGUCUCCCACCCUAUGAGUUUGAGAUAGACUUAUAUGUGAACUUUGAAAAGUUAUGGAAUCUCAAAUUCCAAACCAAAUAGUCUAAUCUCAAAUUCCUCUAAAAUGAAGGGAUCCAAAUGGUCCCUUAAUUAAGGGACAUAGAUAUUAAAUUUGUUCUUAGUGUGUGCAACUAAGUAAAGUUACUUAUGUGUUCGCCCCCCCCCCCCCCCAAUUUGUGAUUUUUCUAAUGUGUGAUCCCAAUACAUUUACUCUGUAAUCCCCCUCAAUUUGUGUUAUGGAGGAGGUUUGGAAUUGCUCCCUGACAAACAAACAAAAUUCUGUGUUUACGUGGAAACAAAGUAGGGAACCCUUGUUUUUCUUUCUGUGGACAUUUUUAAGUCCUGAAGGAAAAUGACAGUGCAGUUAGUGUCACCUGGACAAAUGUUGGAGGAUCAGUAGAGAUACCAUCAAGGUAGAUCUUGAUGCUGACCACUACCUGAAAGAAGAAAAAGAGGUGUACGCAUUUUGCAUGGUACCUUCACUUAAUUCCUCAAUCACAAUAAUGGCUUUGCCAUUAGCCAGUCAUGUUAGCACCUCUGGCAUUUAGCUAAAUAAAUGAAAUGCAAGCCCUUUCCACUACUGAUUAUAACAUAACCAAUGACGAAGCAAGAGAUGUGAAAGAAUUAACCUUAGUAUUCUGAAACACACCAUUAGGAUCAUUGGUAACAAUAUCCAAGCCACCAUCCAGGCACGGCCCAUCUCUUUGAUAUGGACCCCAGUGUGAACACUGGAGCCACUGCCCCAAACAAAACCCGUCGGUAUAAAUUCCCUCUCACCAAAUGUCAAGUGUGCAUAUACCUCAUCUGUUAUAUAUAACAAAUAUGCCAAGGUUCCAUGCAGUCUCAGCAACCUAGAAAAUCAUUUACUGAAACUAGGCGUUCAGAUUAUUCCCCAAGAGCUCAUCAACUAUUGCAGAACAAUGAACCGUUAAAACUUACCUUAGCUAGGUGCUCAUAUGAGUACACAUUGCCACAAGGAUUUCCUCGUGGCAAUAUGUGUUCUUGUCAGCAUGAGCAUGUACAACCUACCAGUCUUUCUCAGGUAGAAGAUCGAAGUAA
rnacentral:lncRNA from 1 species